GGUUCGAUGGCGUAGUUGGUUAUCGCAUCUGUCUAACAUCCCUGAAAGUAUUAGAAGCUUUACACAGAAGGUCCCCAGUUCGAGCCUGGGUCGAAUCA